rnacentral:rRNA from 1 species
UAGGGAAUCUUCCGCAAUGGACGCAAGUCUGACGGAGCAACGCCGCGUGAGUGAAGAAGGAUUUCGGUUCGUAAAACUCUGUUGUUAGAGAAGAACAGCGCAUAGAGUAACUGUUAUGCGUGUGACGGUAUCUAACCAGAAAGCCACGGCUAACUACGUGCCAGCAGCCGCGGUAAUACGUAGGUGGCAAGCGUUGUCCGGAUUUAUUGGGCGUAAAGCGAGCGCAGGCGGUCAAUUAAGUCUGAUGUGAAAGCCCCCGGCUCAACCGGGGAGGGUCAUUGGAAACUGUUUAACUUGAGUGCAGAAGGGGAGAGUGGAAUUCCAUGUGUAGCGGUGAAAUGCGUAGAUAUAUGGGGGAACACCGGUGGCGAAAGCGGCUCUCUGGUCUGUAACUGACGCUGAGGCUCGAAAGCGUGGGGAGCGAACAGG